rnacentral:rRNA from 1 species
AGUGAAAUUGAACUCGCUGUGAAGAUGCAGUGUACCCGCGGCAAGACGGAAAGACCCCGUGAACCUUUACUAUAGCUUGACACUGAACAUUGAGCCUUGAUGUGUAGGAUAGGUGGGAGGCUUUGAAGUGUGGACGCCAGUCUGCAUGGAGCCGACCUUGAAAUACCACCCUUUAAUGUUUGAUGUUCUAACGUGGACCCGUGAUCCGGGUUGCGGACAGUGUCUGGUGGGUAGUUUGACUGGGGCGGUCUCCUCCUAAAGAGUAACGGAGGAGCACGAAGGUUGGCUAAUCCUGGUCGGACAUCAGGAGGUUAGUGCAAUGGCAUAAGCCAGCUUGACUGCGAGCGUGACGGCGCGAGCAGGUGCGAAAGCAGGUCAUAGUGAUCCGGUGGUUCUGAAUGGAAGGGCCAUCGCUCAACGGAUAAAAGGUACUCCGGGGAUAACAGGCUGAUACCGCCCAAGAGUUCAUAUCGACGGCGGUGUUUGGCACCUCGAUGUCGGCUCAUCACAUCCUGGGGCUGAAGUAGGUCCCAAGGGUAUGGCUGUUCGCCAUUUAAAGUGGUACGCGAGCUGGGUUUAGAACGUCGUGAGACAGUUCGGUCCCUAUCUGCCGUGGGCGCUGGAGAACUGAGGGGGGCUGCUCCUAGUACGAGAGGACCGGAGUGGACGCAUCACUGGUGUUCGGGUUGUCAUGCCAAUGGCACUGCCCGGUAGCUAAAUGCGGAAGAGAUAAGUGCUGAAAGCAUCUAAGCACGAAACUUGCCCCGAGAUGAGUUCUCCCUGACCCUUUAAGGGUCCUGAAGGAACGUUGAAGACGACGACGUUGAUAGGCCGGGUGUGUAAGCGCAGCGAUGCGUUGAGCUAACCGGUACUAAUGAACCGUGAGGCUUAACCUUACAACGCCGAAGGUGUUU